rnacentral:tRNA from 1 species
GCCAGGGUGGCGGAACCCGGUAACGCGUACGCCUGGAAAGCGUAUGGUUCUUCGGAGCCUUUUGGGUUCAAAUCCCAACCCUGGCG